UGAGGCAGGAGAAUUGCUUGAACCCAGGAGGCGGAGGUUGCAGUGAGCCGAGAUAGUGCCACUGCACUCCAGCCUGGGUGACGGAGCAAGACUCCAUCUCA
rnacentral:miRNA from 1 species